rnacentral:rRNA from 1 species
GCGAUUCGCCCUUCGGGGUGCCCAGGCGCGAAAACUUUACAAUGCUGGCAACAGCGAUAAGGGGACCUUGAGUGCCAGGAUACAAUCUUGGCUGUCGUCGUGUCUAAAAAACACGAUAUAGCAAGGGCCGGGCAAGACCGGUGCCAGCCGCCGCGGUAACACCGGCGGCUCGAGUGGUAACCGCUAUUAUUGGGUCUAAAGGGUCUGUAGCCGGCUUGGUUAGUCUCUUGGGAAAUCCGGCAGCUUAACUGUCGGGCUUUCAGGAGAUACUGCCAGGCUCGAGACCGGGAGAGGUGAGAGGUACUUCAUGGGUAGGGGUGAAAUCUUGUAAUCCUUGAAGGACCACCAGUGGCGAAGGCGUCUCACCAGAACGGAUCUGACGGCAAGGGACGAAAGCUAGGGGCACGAACCGGAUUAGAUACCCGGGUAGUCCUAGCCGUAAACGAUACUCGCUAGGUGUCGGCCACGGUGCGACCGUGGUCGGUGCCGUAGGGAAGCCGUGAAGCGAGCCACCUGGGAAGUACGGCCGCAAGGCUGAAACUUAAAGGAAUUGGCGGGGGAGCAC